rnacentral:lncRNA from 10 species
UUUCUUGCCGUGAUGGCCGCCGCCGAGGCAGGGAGUUGAGGGUUUCUGCCUUUCGGAGGGUUUGGGGGGCUGUCGGUCCCGUUAGAAGGCCACCAACAGCCCCCCAGGUUGCCAAGGGCCUGUUAGUUGUGUUCCUGGAAGGUGGGCAAGCAGCCUGAUGGGUUAACAUUGGGAUUUGCCGUCGUUAUAGCGGUCAAGGGGCCUGUAGCGGCUGCAGGGUCGGUGAGGGUUCCCAGCCGGCCGGACCUUGGUCGUCUGGCAUUCUGCCUUUGAAAUAUCUGGGUGGCCGGCGCCUAGGCAUAUGGGGUUGUGCUUUCUGUGUUGUGGUUUGUAGCUUGCAUCCUCCACUGUUCUUAGCGCAUUUGGCUCUGUCCAUAUGGCUGUUGGUACUCAUGGCCCUAUUUGGGGUUGGACUGGGCUCUUUUUCUUGGGUCUGGUGGGAUUUAAGCAAGAACUGGAAUUUUGUAAGAUGUACAGCAGUGUCCUGGGUGUUGUCUGUCUGGUGUGGGGUGUGAGCAGUUGCAGGAGUUAUGAACGUGUCCAUGAUCGUGUGGUUGGCUUUCCCUUGCAUGUGGUGAACUUUCCCCUCGUUUGCUAAUGCUGAAAGGCAGUGUCAGGCAGUUCCUACUUGUGAAAUGCCUUCUUAUUAACUUGGAUGUGUUCCUAAAUCUUGGGAGCUUUGCAAUUGCUUGUAGAAAGAUAUGUGUGCAAAACUGAAUUUAAAACGAGCACCAGGGUUGCAGGUACCUUUAGUUCUAGGGAGCCAGCUCCCCCAGGCUUCCCUGGUGCUGUGAAGUUGUUUGAGUUUAUUUAUGGAAAUUAGGUUUGCUUUGAGCUGUGUUACCUUACUCUUGGCUCAGAGUUUCUCUGCAUGUUGGGACCCUGAUCUUUGAUAUUGGGUACUGUUUCAACAUUUGAGGCUAAAUGAAGCACCGUGUACUGAUGUGUAAUGUCGUGUAUCACAAUCUCAGGAUAACACUAGAUAGCCAAGAAUGGCAGUACCUGUUUUGUCUGUCUACACGAAUUGGACCUCAUUGUUUCUGCCACAAUGUACUGCUCCAUAAAUUCCGCCUUAUUUCCAUGGUAUUGUCUGUAAGUUUUGAAAUCUAACUGGUCAUGAAAAGCCAUUUUUCAGGCAGUAUUUAAAAGCUUUUUCCCACAAGUAGAACUGGUAUCUAAAACAUUUUUUCAUUCAAGUUUGGUAAGGUGGGAGAUUUGAAAUAAGGUACAACAGUGGUUUUGGAAAUCAGCUAUCAAGUUUUAGUUUUAGGGGCCACCACGUGACAGAAAUGAUUUAUAGAGAGAGUAAAAAUUGUAUUCCAUUUCUCUUGGUAUUUUAGUGCAUAUAAAAACUAAAUAAACCACUUUCAUAUAUCAUUAAAAAGCCCUUUGUGUCUUGUGAUGAAUGAGGUUUUUAUAACUCCCCUAUUGUCUGGGUUUGCUUAGAAUAUAGUAAUGGGGCCGGGCAUGGUGGCUCACGCCUGUAAUCCCAACACUUAGGGAGGCCAAGGCCAGGGGAUCACUUGAGGUCAGGAGUUUGAGACCAGCCUGGCCAACAUGGUGAAACCCCAUCUCUACUAAAAAUACAAAAAACUUAGCUGGGUGUGGUGGCAUACGCCUAUAAUCUCAGCUACUCAGAAGGCUGAGGUGGGAGAAUCACUUGAACCCAGGAGGUGGAGAUAUCAGUGAACGGAGAUUGUGCCACUGCACUCCAGCCUGGGCAACAGAGUGAGACCCUGUCUCAAAAAAAAAAAAAAAAUUAGCUGGGUGUUGUGGCAGGUGCCUGUAGUCCGGCUACUCUGGAGGCUGAGGCAGGAGAAUCGGCUUGAACCUGGGAGGUGGAGGCGGCAGUGAGCCAAGAUCACUUCACUGUACUCCACCCCUCCAACCUGGGCAACAGAGUGAGACUGCAUCUCAAAAAAUAUAUGUAUAGUAAUGGUAGAGAAAGCAGCAAAGCUGGCUGGGUAUGUACAUGUGAUUCUGUUGAAACUGAUUUCAGGUAUGGAUUGAUAGGCUAAUAUUGUUGGGUUGCUAGUCAGAUCUCAGGAAAGUAUUUCCUUCCCUCUAACCUGACCUAAGUGUGUCUUAGAAUGUUAACUAACUUGACAAUUGAAUAAAAAAGAUUGAGAAAUUU